ACCUGGUUCCACACUACAAAGACGCAGAGGACACUGGACCACCAGACCACGGUACUGAGUCCUGCCGCUCCCAGCCCAGAGAUGUGAAAAUGGAAGUCCAAAGACUUCAUCCCUUGUCUGUGUCACACAGAGCAGUAGCAGGAAGGUCAGAAUCCAGCUUUGGCCAUGGGUCAAGAAGCUGCUGCUCAUCUACAAUACUGGAAGAUGAAACAAUGGAGAGAAGAGAGCUGACUGUGAAGAGAGACUGAUCUACCACUGGUUACAGUAUUACUGUUACUUCCUGAAUGUCCAUGUCCAUCUGAAAUUAAUAUGUCAAAAUCCUAGUCCCAAAGGUGAUGACACUAGAAGGUGUGACCUUUGGGAGGUAAUUAAAUCAGGAUGGAGCCCUCAUGAACAAGAUUACUGUCCUUAGGAAAGAGUCCCCAAAGAGAACUCUCUUUCUCACCUGUGAGAUCAGCUGUCUGCGGUCUGGAAGAGGGCCCUCACCAGAACCCAACCAUGCUGGUGCCGCCAUCUCAGACUGCUGGCCUUCAGACUUACAAGAGAAAAAGUCUCUGUUGUUAGCCACCCAGACCACUAUAGGAAAAAACAAGGACACUCACUUAUGUACAAUGUGGUCAUCAGGCUCUGACCCAUUCUUUUCCUUCCUCACAUGCCACUUAUAACUCUGAGUCCUUAUUCUGAUCUCAGCCUUCACAUUUAGAAACCCCUGGGCUUCUGUGAAUGUGGCAAGAUGUCUUUUCCCACCUUCUGUCAUGUACUGAUAGCCAGGAAUGACCUUCACUGUGGUGACUUUGAAGAUAUUCCUGUACUAUUCCUGUACUUACACUGAAAACGCCAUCUAUGAGAGCAAUCAAGAAACAAUCAAUUAACUGGAAAACAGUGAAAACUUUAACUUUUCCUUCACUUUUAUAAAAUGGAAGGAAAUAUAAAGUAUUAUUUCUUAUCCAAAACAAUGUAAAACUUUAUGACACCACAUACCCCCAGAGGGCUUAAAGCUACAUAGCAGAAAACUGACUUUUUAUGAUGUUACUUAAAAAAACUUUCACAAUUGUAAUUUGUAAAUUGUGACUCACUUUAUUUAAAGCAAUCUUUAAGAUUUGAAAAUUUCAGCACAGAUACUUUGUGUAUCCACUACCUUGAACGUUGCUAAAAUGGUGUGCCUUUGGUGAGGAGGAAGAAGAAACCAGAAGGAGCUAGGAAAGAAUUUGAAGAAGGUAAAUAGAUAAACCCAUGAGCCCUGAGGGCAUCUGAGGCCAGAGACUGAAGGGUCAAAUGGAAGCUGAGGCCAGAACAUAGUGAUGCACAGGAGGAAGAGAAGAUGAAAAUGUCAGAGGACAAGGUGGGCACCCACUAACUGGCUGGAGAGGGUAGGAUGCAGACUGAAAGACUAGAAAAGCAUCGAAGAAGGAAGGAGCAGGCAAAGUCUAUCUCCCAGAAAAGUGCUAAAUAGCUUUGCCAGCUUCAGCCAUAGGGACCAAAGCAUGGGAUGUUCCUUUAAAUCUUUUUCUCCAUGACACACAUAUCUUUCCGUGAUCUUGUCUGCUUGGUAAGAAUGGUUAUUGUCCUUUGAGGAGGAGCAGGUUACAAACAGAAAGGGUAAAACAGGUUAACACUGGCCCUCAUAUAGCUUUUGCUCAGUGCAUAGAAUUUAAAAAUAAUGAGCCAAUAAGGUUGUAUCAAUAUCAGUUCCCUAGUUGUGAUUUACUAUAGUUACACAUGAUAUUCCCAUUAGGGAAAACAGAAACAGGGGUGUAUGGGAUCUUUCUAUAUACUAUUUCUCACAGGUGGGUGCAAAUCAACAACUUACAUAAUGACAAAAGCUGUUUUGAAUGAGCUGAUUUUAAUAAGCCAGAAGAUAAAAGUCUUAUUUUCUAGCUUUCCUUGAAAAGUUGGAAAAUCAAGCAACAUUGGGCUCACCUAAUGUUAUUUCAUAAUAAUGAGAAGCAGAGAGGCAUCACAGUCCUUGAGAUAGGCAUUGUAAUCUUCAUUUUGUCCCAUUCUCUCUCAGUCUGCUUUACUAUUUAUGUUACAUUUGGUCGCAAAAGACACUAGAUUCUUCCACUCUCCUGUAAGAGUUAAAAACUUGGUCAUUGGAGAGUUAUCUUAGUUUACACCAUUUGUUGGGAGAUGAACACUGUAUCAUGAAUAAGAACCCAAGGACAUCUCAUUAUCCUGAUGCCCUUGGGGCUUUGCACAUAAUAGUUGUCACUAAUGUAUUCUUCUACAGAAGCAUAAACA